AUGCUUGGUGUGGAGAAGCACGGGAGGAUGAGUAGGACGGGCAUGGGGAAGGAGCAGCCAGGCCGGAGCUCCGGCGUUGCUCGUGUCAUGGUCGAAUGGAGCCGGCCAUCACUAUGGGCUUCUGCUCGCCGGUCGUUGUUCCCCAAUCUCAGUUGCUCAUCUUUGGCUUCACCAUCUUCCUCCCCUGAUCAUGCAUCUAUUUUAGAUCAUAUAAUUAUGCUAUAUCAUAUAUGUUGUUUAGUUCUGACUUGUGCAUGUGCAUGCAUUGGCAUUGAUUUAGACAGAGAUAUUGCAUAUUUGUACAUAGAAGGAGUACGGAUGAUCUAG
rnacentral:rRNA from 1 species